rnacentral:rRNA from 1 species
UAGGGAAUCUUCGGCAAUGGACGAAAGUCUGACCGAGCAACGCCGCGUGAGUGAAGAAGGUUUUCGGAUCGUAAAACUCUGUUGUUAGAGAAGAACAAGAACGUUAGUAACUGAACGUCCCCUGACGGUAUCUAACCAGAAAGCCACGGCUAACUACGUGCCAGCAGCCGCGGUAAUACGUAGGUGGCAAGCGUUGUCCGGAUUUAUUGGGCGUAAAGCGAGCGCAGGCGGUUUCUUAAGUCUGAUGUGAAAGCCCCCGGCUCAACCGGGGAGGGUCAUUGGAAACUGGGAGACUUGAGUGCAGAAGAGGAGAGUGGAAUUCCAUGUGUAGCGGUGAAAUGCGUAGUUAUAUGGAGGAACACCAGUGGCGAAGGCGGCUCUCUGGUCUGUAACUGACGCUGAGGCUCGAAAGCGUGGGGAGCAAACAGG